rnacentral:rRNA from 1 species
GACGAACGCUGGCGGCGUGCCUAAUACAUGCAAGUCGAACGCUUUUUCUUUCACCGGAGCUUGCUCCACCGAAAGAAAAAGAGUGGCGAACGGGUGAGUAACACGUGGGUAACCUGCCCAUCAGAAGGGGAUAACACUUGGAAACAGGUGCCAAUACCGUAUAACACUAUUUUCCGCAUGGAAGAAAGUUGAAAGGCGCUUUUGCGUCACUGAUGGAUGGACCCGCGGUGCAUUAGCUAGUUGGUGAGGUAACGGCUCACCAAGGCAACGAUGCAUAGCCGACCUGAGAGGGUGAUCGGCCACACUGGGACUGAGACACGGCCCAGACUCCUACGGGAGGCAGCAGUAGGGAAUCUUCGGCAAUGGACGAAAGUCUGACCGAGCAACGCCGCGUGAGUGAAGAAGGUUUUCGGAUCGUAAAACUCUGUUGUUAGAGAAGAACAAGGAUGAGAGUAGAACGUUCAUCCCUUGACGGUAUCUAACCAGAAAGCCACGGCUAACUACGUGCCAGCCGCCGCGGUAA